GAGGAGGAGGAGUGAUUCUAAUGAUAGGGACCGUUAUCAUGAUAGAGAUCGAGACAGGGAGAGGGACCGCAAUCGCGAACGUGAACGGGAUCAUGAAAGGUCACGAGAGUGGAAUGGUAGAGGUAGUGGGGAUGGAGGAAAGGGGACAGAGUGGAGGUCCAGGAAUGGAAGAGAGAGCGGCAGGGAUAGGUACCGUGACCGGAGUAGGUCACGGUCCCCUGUUAGACAUGGUCACAGGAGAUCACCUAAAAGUCCAGCUCACCAAUAUUAAAUGGAUUGGUAGAUAGAUAUCAGAGCUUUUAAAUUACAUGAGGUAGACUUUCAAUCUUGAAGUUUUAUGAGCUUGUGUUUUUGGAAUCUUAAGUUUAAUCAGCAUCAUGG
rnacentral:misc_RNA from 1 species